GACGAACGCUGGCGGCGUGCUUAACACAUGCAAGUCGAGCGAGAGCCAGCUGAGGGGUAACCCUCGGCUGGGGACAGCGGCGAACGGGUGCGUAACACGUGGGCAACCUGCCCCUGACACUGGGUAAACCCGGAACACCCGGAGCUAAUACCGGAAACUCCGGGGCCGUCCUGGUGGGUUGGCAAAAAAGCCCGGGGAGUAGAGUGGCCCCCCCUUUUUUGGUUGGGACAGACGCCACACGGCAGGGGGGGGGAAACCCUAUUCUGUCUCUGAAGGAACCACCCGCCCCACGUGGAAUUGAAAUCGGUCCAGACUCCUACGGGAGGCAGCAGUGGGGAAUAUUGCACAAUGGGGCGAGUGGGGAGGCAGGAACGCCGCGUGAGGGAUGAAGGCCUUCGGGUCGUAAACCUCUUUCGGCAGGGACGAAGCGAUCAGUGACGGUACCUGCAGAAGAAGCCCCGGCUAACUACGUGCCAGCAGCCGCGGUAAGACGUAGGGGGCGAGCGUUGUCUGGAUUCAUUGGGCGUAAAGCGCGCGUAGGGCGGCUGCGCAAGUCGGUUGUGAAAACCCCGGGGCUCAAACCCCGGAACUGCAUCCGAUACUGCGUGGCUAGAGGUAGGUAGGGGAGAUCGGAAUUUCCUGGUGUAGCGGUGAAAUGCGCAGAUAUCAGGAGGAACACCGGUGGCGAAGGCGGAUCUCUGGGCCUUACCUGACGCUCAGGCGCGAAAGCUAGGGGAGCGAACAGGAUUAGAUACCCUGGUAGUCCUAGCCGUAAACGUUGGGUGCUAGGUGUGGGCGGAUAUCGACCCCGUCCGUGCCGAAGCUAACGCAUUAAGCACCCCGCCUGGGGAGUACGGCCGCAAGGCUAAAACUCAAAGGAAUUGACGGGGGCCCGCACAAGCGGCGGAGCAUGUGGCUUAAUUCGAAGCGACGCGAAGAACCUUAUCUGGGCUUGACAUGCGGGGUGAAACCGUAGAGAUACGGUGCUCCUCGGAGCCCGCACAGGUGGUGCAUGGCUGUCGUCAGCUCGUGCCGUGAGGUGUUGCCUUAAGUGGCGCAACGAGCGCAACCCCUGUCCUUAGUUGCCAGCGGGUAAUGCCGGGAACUCUAGGGAGACUGCCGGUGCCAAACCGGAGGAAGGUGGGGAUGACGUCAAGUCAUCAUGCCCCUUAUGUCCAGGGCUGCACACAUGCUACAAUGCGCGAUACAGAGGGUUGCGAUCCCGCAAGGGGGAGCGAAUCCCAAAAAGUCGCGCUCAGUUCGGAUCGGGGUCUGCAACUCGACCCCGUGAAGUCGGAGUCGCUAGUAAUCGCAGAUCAGCAAUGCUGCGGUGAAUACGUUCCCGGGCCUUGUACACACCGCCCGUCACACCACGAAAGUGGGCAACACCCGAAGCCGGUGGCCUAACCCUUGUGGAGGGAGCCGUCGAAGGUGGGGCUCGCGAUUGGGGUG
rnacentral:rRNA from 1 species